rfam:Aedes albopictus isolate Foshan contig164498, whole genome shotgun sequence.
UAGUCUAGUGGUUAAGGCUAUGGACCGCCAAUCCGGAGACGGCGGGUUCGAUUCCCGU